rnacentral:rRNA from 1 species
GCAACUCGCCUACAUGAAGCCGGAAUCGCUAGUAAUCGCGGAUCAGCAUGCCGCGGUGAAUACGUUCCCGGGCCUUGUACACACCGCCCGUCACACCACGAGAGUUUGUAACACCCGAAGUCGGUGGGGUAACCUUUUGGAGCCAGCCGCCUAAGGUGGGACAGAUGAUUGGGGUGAAGUCGUAACAAGGUAGCCGUAUCGGAAGGUGCGGCUGGAUCACCUCCUUUCUAUGGAG